ensembl:lncRNA novel transcript
GAACGGUUAUCUGUGUACAAAACAUGGGCAGACUAAUUUCUUGCACAUAGCUGCUGCCAGCUCCUACCACCAGAGAGGGACUGACUCCCUUUCCCAAGGAGUUCUGAUCUGUGUGCUUUGGGUCAGGCACCAAGGUCCAGACCAGCCAAUAGUGAACAGGAAAUCAAG